GACGAACGCUGGCGGCGUGCCUAAUACAUGCAAGUAGAACGCUGAAGGAGGAGCUUGCUUCUCUGGAUGAGUUGCGAACGGGUGAGUAACGCGUAGGUAACCUGCCUGGUAGCGGGGGAUAACUAUUGGAAACGAUAGCUAAUACCGCAUAAGAGUAGAUGUUGCAUGACAUUUGCUUAAAAGGUGCAAUUGCAUCACUACCAGAUGGACCUGCGUUGUAUUAGCUAGUUGGUGGGGUAACGGCUCACCAAGGCGACGAUACAUAGCCGACCUGAGAGGGGGGUCGGCCACACUGGGACUGAGACACGGCCCAGACUCCUACGGGAGGCAGCAGUAGGGAAUCUUCGGCAAUGGACGGAAGUCUGACCGAGCAACGCCGCGUGAGUGAAGAAGGUUUUCGGAUCGUAAAGCUCUGUUGUAAGAGAAGAACGAGUGUGAGAGUGGAAAGUUCACACUGUGACGGUAUCUUACCAGAAAGAGACGGCUAACUACGUG
rnacentral:rRNA from 1 species